rnacentral:rRNA from 1 species
AUUGAACGCUGGCGGCAGGCCUAACACAUGCAAGUCGAGCGAGCGGCGGACGGGUGAGUAAUGUAUGGGGACUGCCCGAUAGAGGGGGAUAACCACUGGAAACGGUAGCUAAUCUCGCAUACAAUCGGAUAACCCAUAUGGGAGUAGCUAGUAGGUGAGGUAAUGGCUCACCUAGGCGACGGUCCCUAGCUGGUCUGAGAGGAUGAUCAGCCACUCUGAGACUGAGACACGGCCCCGACUCCUACGGGGGCAGCAGUGGGGAAUAUUGCACAAUGGGCGCAAUCCUGAUGCAGCCAUGCCGCGUGUAUGAAGAAGGCCCUAGGGUUUUAAAGUACUUUCAGUCGGGAGGCGUUGCCGACAGAAGGGGCACCGGCGAACUCCGUGCCAGCAGCCGCGGUAAUAC